AGAGCAUACGGUGGAUGCCUUGGCGAUAUCUGCCGAUGAAGGACGCGACAAGCUGCGAAAAGCUGCGGAGAGGUGCAAAUGACCAUUGACCCGCAGAUCUCCGAAUGGAGCAAUCCGGCAGGGUUUAUCCCCUGUCACCCAUAUCUUCGAAUAUGGGAGGGAACCGGGCGAACUGAAACAUCUAAGUAGCCCGAGGAAGAGUAAUCAAACGAGAUACCCCAAGUAGCGGCGAGCGAACGGGGCCCAAGCCCAAACCGGUGAAGGAAACUUUGCCGGGGUUGAGGACUGCCAUACGAACUAGCCCAUUAGCCGAAAUUCCUGGGAAGGAAUGCCGAAGAAUGUGAAAGCCAUGUAAGCGAAAAUGGAAAAGGGACAGGCAGCACCAGAGUACCGCGGGACACGAGAAACCCCGUGGGAAGCCGGGGGGACCACCCUCCAAGGCAAAACACAGAUAUCGACCGAUAGCGCAUAGUACCAUGAGGGAAAGGUGAAAAGCACCCCGGGAGGGGAAUGAAAGAGAACCUGAAACCGUAUGUUUACAAGCAGUCGAAGACCGCUUAAUAAUAAGGUCAACGGCGUGCCUAUUGAAGAAUGAACCGGCGAGUUAUGAGGUCCAGCAAGGUUAAGCAGGAAAUGCGGAGCCGAAGCGAAAGCGAGUCUUAAUAGGGCGACAAGUUGGAUUGCAUAGACCCGAAACCACAGUGAUCUACCCAUGUCCAGGCUGAAGCACAGGUAAAAAUGUGUGGAGGGCCGAACCUAUAUCCGUUGAAAAGGGUUAGGAUGAGGUGUGGGUAGGGGUGAAAUUCCAAUCGAACGUGGAGAUAGCUGGUUCUCCCCGAAAUAGCUUUAGGGCUAGCCUCGAGGUAGAGAUUGCAGGCGGUAGAGCACUGAUCAGGAGAGGGGCCUACCCGGCUACCAAACCCAGUCAAACUACGAAUGGCUGCAAUUAUACUCGGGAGUCAGACUACGACUUAUAAGGGCCGUGGUCAAAAGGGAAACAGCCCAGAUCAUCAGCUAAGGUCCCAAAUGCCGUGCUAAGUGGCGAAGGAUGUGGCGUUUCAUAAACAACCAGGAUGUUGGCUCAGAAGCAGCCACCAUUUAAAGAGUGCGUAAUAGCUCACUGGUCGAGAGACGCUGCGCCGAAAAUGUCCGGGGCUCAAGCACGGAACCGAAGCUAUGGCAUGAUAGCAAUAUCAUGGGUAGGGGAGCGUUCUUAACAGGAAGAAGCAUGACCGAAAGGACAUGUGGACCGUUAAGAAGUGAGAAUGCCGGUAUGAGUAUCGAAAAGAAAGGUGAGAAUCCUUUCCACCGAAAGCCCGAGGGUUCCUGAGCAACGAUCGUCGUCUCAGGGUAAGUCGGGACCUAAGCCGAGGCGGAGACGCAUAGGCGAUGGACAACAGGUUGAAAUUCCUGUACCGGAUACAAUCGUUUGAGCGAUGGAGCGACGCAGAAAGGCAUAUGAUCGCGCGACUGGAAGAGCGCGUCCAAGUGCGUAUGUUGAAUCGGAGGCAAAUCCCUGAUUCUGAAAGCAGAGACACGAUGGGGAGUUAUACGAAAGUAUGACGAACUCAUAGAUCCUACACUGCCAAGAAAAACUUCUAGUGAGAAAGUAUCCGCCCGUACCGUAAACCGACACAGGUAGGCGGGGAGAGAAUCCUAAGGUGCGCGGGAAAACCCUCGUUAAGGAACUCGGCAAAUUGCAUCCGUAACUUAGGGAGAAGGAUGACCUUAAGUAAGCGAAAGGGAGAAACCCCUGGAACAGAACAAGGUGGCAGAAAAGAGGCCCAAGCAACUGUUUACCAAAAACACAGGUGCCUGCGAAAGCGAAAGCUGAAGUAUAGGUGCUGACGCCUGCCCGGUGCUGGAAGGUUAAGGAGAGAUGUCAGAGCAAUCGAAGCAUUGAACUGAAGCCCCAGUGAACGGCGGCCGUAACUAUAACGGUCCUAAGGUAGCGAAAUUCCUUGUCGGGUAAGUUCCGACCCGCAUGAAAGGCGUAAUGAUUUGGGCACUGUCUCAACGAGGGGCCCGGUGAAAUUGAAAUACCUGUGAAGAUGCAGGUUACCCGCGACUGGACAGAAAGACCCCAUGGAGCUUCACUGCAGCUUGAGAUUGAAUCUCGGUGAUGCAUGCACAGGAUAGGUGGGAGACUUUGAAGUAUGGGCUUUGGCUUAUACCGAGUCGAUGUUGGGAUACCACCCUUGUAUUGCUGAGAUUCUAACACGGAGGCUAACAACCUCGUGGACCAUCUCAGGUAGGCGGUUUGACUGGGGCGGUCGCCUCCGAAAGAGUAACGGAGG
rnacentral:rRNA from 1 species